CCGGGCCUGCCUAAUGUCCGUCCUACCCUCCAGUGCAGAUCAAAAAGCUCAGAAUACAGGAUGUGACCGGCCAUACCUGUGUUCCCCCACAGCCCCAUACUAAGGAGUGGAACUCAACUCCUCCCUCGUCCCCUCAGGUCCCUCAAGCUGCUUCAGCAGAGGCUUCUGGAAGCUUCCGGAGCUUUCCAGAGGCCGUCCACCAUCGGGGCUCACCGAGGAUGGGGCUGAUGAACCACACUAGGCUGUAGAGCUGGUCAGGCAGGCCCAUUUGCAGGAGUACUGGAGUGACGUACGCGGUCUCCAUGGCGUAGCUGAACUCGAUGCCAAACAGAAUGCAGCCGUUGAAGAGCAGCUCCCGAAACGACCUCUGUGGGUGCAAGUCUCCAAAGUCCACCAGCUCAAUGGGACACGGGGUGUUGGGAGGUGGGGGUGGAGAGGGUCGAAUGUACUUCCUCCUCUUGGGGUGGCGUUUGAAGUUGUUGGCCCGGUGACUGAUGUGCCGCGUCACAGACCCUGAGUAGCUGGAGAUGGGAGACUUCCAGAAGUCCUGAGGAGCCACACUGGGGAAGAGGGCCUCUCCCGGAGGGGUGCUGCCUGCUGGGGGGAUCAUCGUAGGCAGGGCUGGGAGAGGAAAGCUGAGGCCAGAGUGGGAGGAACAGAGACCUGGAGCAAAGAAGUCCCAGAACUCUGCUGGAUGUCCACCUCACCCACCCGAUGGAAAAGCCAUUGACAUUCUCCUUUGAAGUCCUUCCUGAGAGUUAGGUUAGAAAGUGAAGGAAAAUGUUCCAAGCAGUGGAAAUCUUCCAUACAAACGAGAAAGAACUAACUGCUGGCCACAGUGAGGGUGUGGAGCGAGAUGAAGUCACCAGUAAAACAUUCGCUGAUGGCGAAGGACCUUGAAGCCUUGGCUAAGAGGUGCAUUUUACACGCGGUGACAUGGCGGAGCUCACUCCUCUGUUACUUCAAUAAUCACUUAUCUGGUGACCUUAAAGACACCGCUGUGUAAAACGAGGACAGGUGAGCCUGAGAACUACGUAGACAAGUAAUGCUUCAUUUAAAAUAUAGUCUACUUACGAAGAUGAACUCAAGACUAAGGCUUCAGGGGCUAGAGUGACGGCUCAGUGGGUCAAGGCGCUUGCCA